CUCUCUAACCAAAGUGAAGGCAAAGCUCAAAGCCCUGAACACACAAAUACCCUUCAGCCAAUGCCCAAAAUUCAUCUAUCAAAACUAUCAUAAAGCUCUACCUUCACCUUUAAAUAAUCCCAUCUCUUUGAAUUUUAGGGUUUGUGGAUUUUUUGUUCAAAAAAGUUUGUGGAUUACAAAUACACGACCAGUUCUUUUGUUCUCAAUACAUAAAUUUUCUCUCA
rnacentral:lncRNA from 1 species